AGCAGCCGCGGUAAUUCCAGCUCCAAUAGCGUAUAUUAAAGUUGUUGCAGUUAAAAAGCUCGUAGUUGAAUUUCGGGAUCAAUAUGUUGGUCGUGCCUCGGUACGUACUGGCGUCAUUGGUUUCUACCUUCUGAAGAACCUCGAUGUCAUUAAUUUGGUGUCUUGGGGAAUCAGGACUGUUACUUUGAAAAAAUUAGAGUGUUUAAAGCAGGCUCACGCUUGAAUACAUUAGCAUGGAAUAAUGAAAUAGGACGUUUGAUUCUAUUUUGUUGGUUUCUAGGAUCGACGUAAUGAUUAAUAGGGAUAGUUGGGGGCAUUAGUAUUCAAUUGUCAGAGGUGAAAUUCUUGGAUUUAUUGAAGACUAACUACUGCGAAAGCAUUUGCCAAGGAUGUUUUCAUUAAUCAAGAACGAAAGUUAGGGGAUCGAAGACGAUCAGAUACCGUCGUAGUCUUAACCAUAAACUAUGCCGACUAGGGAUCGGAUGAUGUUAAUUUUUUAAUGUACUCAUUCGGCGCCUUA
rnacentral:rRNA from 1 species